rnacentral:rRNA from 1 species
GCCUAACCAUAAACUUUGACUUAUCCGCCAGAGUACUACGAGCAACAGCUUAAAACUCAAAGGACUUGGCGGUGCUCUAUACCCACCUAGAGGAGCCUGUUCUGUAAUCGAUAAUCCCCGAUAAACCUCACCAUCUAUUGCCAAUACAGCCUAUAUACCACCGUCCAGCCCGCCCUCCGAAGGUUUAAAAGCAGGCAUAAUUAUAACCAUAAAAACGUCAGGUCAAGGUGUAGCUAAUAAGAUGGGAAGAAAUGGGCUACAUUUUCUAACCUAGAAAACACAAAAGAGUUUUUGAAACAAAGCUCCGAAGGAGGAUUUAGCAGUAAAAAGAAAAAAGAGUGUUCUUUUUAAGCCGGCAAUGGAGCGCGC